AUGAACGCUAGCGACAGGCCUAACACAUGCAAGUCGAGGGCAGCACAAGGAGCAAUCUGAGGUGGCGACCGGCGCACGGGUGAGUAACACGUAUGCAACCUGCCUGUAAGCGGGGAAUAACCCGUUGAAAGACGGACUAAUACCGCAUAAUACUAAAUUACUGCAUGGUAAUUUAUUUAAACAUUUAUGGCUUACAGAUGGGCAUGCGCAUGAUUAGCCAGUUGGAGAGGUAACGGCUCCCCAAGGCAACGAUCAUUAGGGGUUCUGAGAGGAAGGUCCCCACACUGGUACUGAGACACGGACCAGACUCCUACGGGAGGCAGCAGUGAGGAAUAUUGGUCAAUGGACGAGAGUCUGAACCAGCCAAGUCGCGUGCAGGAAGAAUGUCCUAUUGGAUUGUAAACUGCUUUUGCAGGGGAAUAAAGUGCAUCACGUGUGAUGUUUUGUAUGUACUCUGCGAAUAAGGAUCGGCUAACUCCGUGCCAGCAGCAGC
rnacentral:rRNA from 1 species